AAACUCAAAGGAAUUGACGGGGACCCGCACAAGCGGUGGAUGAUGUGGUUUAAUUCGAUGCAACGCGAAAAACCUUACCUACCCUUGACAUGUCUGGAAUCCUGAAGAGAUUUGGGAGUGCUCGAAAGAGAGCCAGAACACAGGUGGUGCAUGGCCGUCGUCAGCUCGUGUCGUGAGAUGUUGGGUUAAGUCCCGCAACGAGCGCAACCUUUGUCAUUAGUUGCUACGAAAGGGCACUUUAAUGAGACUGCCGGUGACAAACCGGAGGAAGGUGGGGAUGACGUCAGGUCAUCAUGGCCCUUAUGGGUAGGGCUACACACGUCAUACAAUGGCCGGGACAGAGGGCUGCCAACCCGCGAGGGGGAGCUAAUCCCAGAAACCCGGUCGUAGUCCGGAUCGUAGACUGCAACUCGACUGCGUGAAGUCGGAAUCGCUAGUAAUCGCGGAUCAGCUUGCCGCGGUGAAUACGUUCCCGGGUCUUGUACACACCGCCCGUCACACCAUGGGAGCGGGUUCUGCCAGAAGUAGUUAGCCUAACCGCAAGGGGGGCGA
rnacentral:rRNA from 1 species